CUAAUAACUACUAAAAAGUGUUUUAAAAAACUCUUGCUGAUAUUAAGAACACCAAUCUCUAUUCUCUCCACAGAACCUAUAAAACCACACCACACAUAAAAGAAGGAAUGCCAUAUGUGACUCUCUUCUCGUCAGCACUGCUAAUCAUGAGGAUAAAGGUGCCACGUGGGACUGGAACCCACCUUCUGCCAGAAGCAAGCCUGAAUUCAUGAACUUGCCAUUUUCUUUGCUCUCCGUGGGACCUGCCAGACAGGCACCUCCGUGGAAGGACUAUUUACCCAACACCAACACCUGCCAAGGAAAACAGAAAGAAAAACAGGAGGCAAAGAAGGUGGAACGGUCACCAAGAAUUACAAGCCACAGAUAG
rnacentral:lncRNA from 12 species